rnacentral:rRNA from 1 species
CUUUACUGUAACCUGGAAUUGGGUUCGGGCUUUGCUUGCGCAGGAUAGGUGGGAGACUAUGAAGCUGCCCUUGUGGGGGCAGUGGAGUCAUCAGUGAGAUACCACUCUGCCAAGGCUAGAAUUCUAACCGUCUGCCGUUAUCCGGCGACGGAACAGUAUCAGGUGGGCAGUUUGACUGGGGCGGUCGCCUCCUAAAUGGUAACGGAGGCGCGCAAAGGUUCCCUCAGGCUGGUUGGAAAUCAGCCGAAGAGUGUAAAGGCAGAAGGGAGCUUGACUGCAAGGGCAACAACUCAAGCAGGGACGAAAGUCGGCCUUAGUGAUCCGACGGCGCUGAGUGGAAGGGCCGUCGCUAAACGGAUAAAAGUUA